GCCAGUAGUUAUUUUCUGUCCCUUCUUUUUAUUCAUUCGUAAACUCCAUUUACUGUCACUUAGUUUUUUUCCCUUUCGAGAGUAGAUGUUCGAGUUAUCGGCGACCCGUAAAUACUCUUUAAGAAUAUAGGCAGAAAUACUCUUUACUUAAUAAAUGAAAAAUGAUAAAGGAAAAUAGGUGCAGCAAAGGUCGAAUAGGUUGGAAACAAGAUUAGG
rnacentral:misc_RNA from 1 species